UGACAGCUCGUUUCUCGCCAUGCUGACAGUUUAAAAAAGGAGUAAACGUCACGAUUCAUCCCAAACAUUAAUUUCAUAUUUUCCGUCCUGAUCCUGGUACUCAAUUAUGGCUGCCAGUGACAACUGUGUUACUUAUGAUUCCUGCAGUAAAUGGACACAUGAGACAGAUGAGAAAAAAUUCUUGUGUGUUCCAAAAACAGAGCCACACGCCCCUUAAGCGUUCCGCAACCAUCC